UUCUACUUAAACUACUCCUUG
rnacentral:tRNA from 2 species